UACGGGGGGGGGCAAGCGUUGUCCGGAUUUAUUGGGCGUAAAGAGCGUGUAGGCGGCCAGACAGGUCCGUUGUGAAAACUCGAGGCUCAACCUCGAGACGUCGAUGGAAACCGUCUGGCUAGAGUCCGGAAGAGGAGAGUGGAAUUCCUGGUGUAGCGGUGAAAUGCGCAGAUAUCAGGAAGAACACCCGUGGCGAAGGCGGCUCUCUGGGACGGUACUGACGCUGAGACGCGAAAGCGUGGGGAGCGAACAGG
rnacentral:rRNA from 1 species